rnacentral:rRNA from 1 species
AGCGAACGUUAGCGGCGGGCCUAACACAUGCAAGUCGAACGCGAAAGGUCUUCGGACUGAUUAGAGUGGCGCACGGGUGAGUAACACGUAGGUAAUCUACCCUUUGGCGGGGGAUAACGUUCCGAAAGGAGCGCUAAUACCGCAUAAGACCACGGAGUCUCCGGACGCUGUGGGAAAAGGUGGCCUCUUCUUGAAAGCUAUCACCGGAGGAUGAGCCUGCGUCCCAUCAGCUAGUUGGUAAGGUAAUGGCUUACCAAGGCAAAGACGGGUAGCUGGUUUGAGAGAAUGAUCAGCCACACUGGCACUGGAACACGGGCCAGACUCCUACGGGAGGCAGCAGUGAGGAAUAUUGGGCAAUGGGCGAAAGCCUGACCCAGCCACGCCGCGUGAGUGAUGAAGGCCCUCGGGUCGUAAAGCUCUGUGGAGAGGGACGAAAAACCUGGGGUCUAAUAGGCCCCGGACUUCGACGGUACCUCUUUAGCAAGCACCGGCUAACUCUGUGCCAGCAGCCG